rnacentral:rRNA from 1 species
AUGAAUGGUGUGUUGACAAAAGGUGGAAAGAGAUAUUUCAUGACUUUGAUUGAUGAUGCGACUAGAUUUUGCUAUGUUUAUUUGUUGCAAACUAAAGAUGAAGCAUUAGACUACUUUAAAAUCUAUAAAGCUGAAGUUGAAAAUCAACUAGAGAGAAAGAUCAAGCGUCUUAGGUCCGAUCGUGGUGGAGAGUAUUUUCCAAAAGUUUUUGAUGAAUUUUGUGAGGAACAUGGUAUUAUUCAUGAGAGGACGCCUCCCUAUUCACCUCAAUCAAAUGGAGUGGCCGAGAGGAAAAACCGCACAUUGACUGACUUGGUGAAUGCCAUGUUAGACACUGCUGGUUUAUCUAAGGCAUGGUGGGGGGAGGCUCUAUUGACUUCAUGUCAUGUCCUGAAUAGAGUUCUCAACAAUAAUAAAGAGAAAACCCCUUAUGAGGAGUGGGUUGGGAGAAAACCAUCACUUUCUUAUUUGCGCACUUGGGGAUGUUUGGCAAAGUACAACUGA